rnacentral:rRNA from 1 species
CCGGUGGAAACUGCCUGGCUUGGGACCGGAAGACCAGAGGGGUACGUCUGGGGUAGGAGUGAAAUCCCGUAAUCCUGGACGGACCACCGGUGGCGAAAGCGCCUCUGGAAGACGGAUCCGACGGUGAGGGACGAAAGCUCGGGUCACGAACCGGAUUAGAUACCCGGGUAGUCCGAGCUGUAAACGAUGUCUGCUAGGUGUGCCACAGGCUACGAGCCUGUGGUGUGCCGCAGGGAAGCCGUGAAGCAGACCGCCUGGGAAGUACGUCCGCAAGGAUGAAACUUAAAGGAAUUGGCGGGGGAGCACUACAACCGGAGGAGCCUGCGGUUUAAUUGGACUCAACGCCGGACAUCUCACCAGCAUCGACAGUAGGAGUGACGGUCAGUGUGAUGAGCUUACCAGACCUACUGAGAGGAGGUGCAUGGCCGCCGUCAGCUCGUACCGUGAGGCGUCCUGUUAAGUCAGGCAACGAGCGAGACCCGCACUCCUAAUUGCCAGCAACACCCUUGUGGUGGUUGGGUACAUUAGGAGGACUGCCAGUGCCAAACUGGAGGAAGGAACGGGCAACGGUAGGUCAGUAUGCCCCGAAUGUGCUGGGCAACACGCGGGCUACAAUGGUCGAGACAGUGGGAUGCAACCCCGAGAGGGGGCGCUAAUCUCCGAAACUCGAUCGUAGUUCGGAUUGCGGACUGAAACUCGUCCGCAUGAAGCUGGAUUCGGUAGUAAUCGCGUUCAGAGAC